rnacentral:rRNA from 1 species
ACUCCUGCGGGAGGCAGCAGUGGGGAAUUUUGGACAAUGGGGGCAACCCUGAUCCAGCAAUGCCGCGUGAGUGAAGAAGGCCUUCGGGUUGUAAAGCUCUUUUGUCAGGGAAGAAACGGUAGUAGCGAAUAACUAUUACUAAUGACGGUACCUGAAGAAUAAGCACCGGCUAACUACGUGCCAGCAGCCGCGGUAAUACGUAGGGUGCAAGCGUUAAUCGGAAUUACUGGGCGUAAAGCGUGCGCAGGCGGUUGUGUAAGUCAGAUGUGAAAUCCCCGGGCUCAACCUGGGAAUUGCAUUUGAGACUGCACGGCUAGAGUGUGUCAGAGGGGGGUAGAAUUCCACGUGUAGCAGUGAAAUGCGUAGAUAUGUGGAGGAAAACCGAUGGCGAAGGCAGCCCCCUGGGAUAACACUGACGCUCAUGCACGAAAGCGUGGGGAGCAAACAGGAUUAGAAACCCCAGUAGUCCC